CAGUCGCCGCGGUAAUCCGAGGGGUGCAAGCGUUACUCGGAAUUACUGGGCGUAAAGCGUGCGUAGGUGGUGGUUUAAGUCCGUUGUGAAAGCCCUGGGCUCAACCUGGGAAUUGCAGUGGAUACUGGGUCACUAGAGUGUGGUAGAGGAUAGUGGAAUUUCCGGUGUAGCAGUGAAAUGCGUAGAGAUCGGAAGGAACAUCUGUGGCGAAGGCGACUAUCUGGGCCAACACUGACACUGAGGCACGAAAGCGUGGGGAGCAAACAGGAUUAGAUACCCCUGUAGUCCCUGUCUCUUAUAC
rnacentral:rRNA from 1 species